AUGGUGUCUAAAAUGAUCAUUGAAAACUUCGAGGCACUCAAGUCCUGGCUCAGCAAGACUCUCGAGCCCAUUUGUGAUGCAGAUCCAUCAGCCCUAGCAAAAUAUGUUCUGGCUUUGGUAAAGAAAGACAAAAGUGAAAAAGAGUUAAAGGCAUUAUGUAUUGAUCAGCUGGAUGUAUUUCUUCAGAAAGGUAAGAUCUUUGGUUUUAAAGUACUAUUUUACUUUAAAAAGUUAAAAAUUAGAUUAUCCAGAGUAUUGAAGGAACUUAGUUAAGAGAUGGACUGUAAUUGUAACAAAGCUGAAAAAACAGUAUUAUUAUUAUACUUGAUCUUAGCCAAAAGGCCAAGAAGCAAUUACACAGUAUU
rnacentral:lncRNA from 1 species